AAAAAGGAAGGAUGCUGCUGUCUCAGCAAGCUGUAUCCCCGUAACCUUUAGGAACAUCGCGUUCAUCGAUUAUUUAAUGAAUCGUGGACGCGUCCAUGUGUUUGACAAUUGCAUGUCCUUUAGUUAAGUAAAUGAUGGCACAUUU